CUACUUACCUCUCAGGGAAGAUACUGUGAUUAAGAAGGUGGUUUUCCCAGGGUGAGAUUCAUCAAUUGUACUCUGGAUGUACAGACCCUUCCGAUUUCCCGAAAUGUGGGAAACCCCACUGCAUAUUUGUAGUAACCGGGGACUGUGUUGAUGCUCUCUCCCA
ensembl:snRNA U1 U1 spliceosomal RNA